rnacentral:rRNA from 1 species
UACGUAGGGGGCAAGCGUUGUCCGGAUUUAUUGGGCGUAAAGAGCGUGUAGGCGGCCAAACAGGUCAGCUGUGAAAACUCGAGGCUCAACCUCGAGACGUCGGUUGAAACCGUUUGGCUUGAGUCCGGGAGAGGUGAGUGGAAUUCCCAGUGUAGCGGUGAAAUGCGUAGAUAUUGGGAGGAACACCAGUGGCGAAGGCGGCUCACUGGACCGGAACUGACGCUGAGGCGCGAAAGCGUGGGGAGCAAACGGG